rnacentral:rRNA from 1 species
CACGUAGGGGGCAAGCGUUGUCCGGAUUUAUUGGGCGUAAAGAGCUCGUAGGCGGCUCAGUAGGUCGGGUGUGAAACCUCCAGGCUCAACCUGGAGACGCCACCCGAUACUGCUGUGGCUUGAGUCCGGUAGGGGAGCGUGGAAUUCCUGGUGUAGCGGUGAAAUGCGCAGAUAUCAGGAGGAACACCAGCGGCGAAGGCGGCGCUCUGGGCCGGAACUGACGCUGAGGAGCGAAAGCGUGGGUAGCAAACAGG